UGCAAGUCGAGCGAGAAGUUGGAAGUGAAGAUUUCGGUUGGAACGGAAGAUGGAAAGCGGCAGACGGGUGAGUAACGCGUGAAUAAUCAACCCUGUACAAAGGGAUAGCCUCGGGAAACCGGGAUUAAUACCAUAUGAAGUAUAUUAAUCGCAUGAUAGAUAUAUUAAAACUUUGGUGGUACAGGACGAGUUCGCGUCCCAUUAGCUAGUUGGUGAGAUAAAAGCUUACCAAGGCGACGAUGGGUAGCCGGCCUGAGAGGGUGAACGGCCACACUGGAACUGAGACACGGUCCAGACUCCUACGGGAGGCAGCAGUGGGGAAUAUUGCACAAUGGAGGAAACUCUGAUGCAGCGACGCCGCGUGAGCGAAGAAGGCUUUCGAGUCGUAAAGCUCUGUCCUAAGAGAAGAAGAAGUGACGGUAACUUAGGAGGAAGCCCCGGCUAACUACGUGCCAGCAGCCGCGGUAAUACGUAGGGGGCUAGCGUUGUCCGGAAUUACUGGGCGUAAAGGGUGAGUAGGUGGUCAUUAAAGUCAGAUGUAAAAGGCAAUGGCUCAACCAUUGUAAGCAUUUGAAACUUAAUGACUUGAGUGCAGGAGAGGGAAAUGGAAUUCCUAGUGUAGCGGUGAAAUGCGUAGAUAUUAGGAAGAACACCAGUGGCGAAGGCGAUUUACUGGACUGUAACUGACACUGAGUCACGAAAGCGUGGGGAGCGAACAGGAUUAGAUACCCUGGUAGUCCACGCUGUAAACGAUGAGUGCUAGGUGUCGGCAAGAGAUUGUCGGUGCCGCAGUUAACGCAUUAAGCACUCCGCCUGGGGAGUACGAUCGCAAGAUUGAAACUCAAAGGAAUUGACGGGGACCCGCACAAGCAGCGGAGCAUGUGGUUUAAU
rnacentral:rRNA from 2 species